GCAGUUGUGAUGAAGUUGCUAUAACAUAAAAAGAGUCAUCGUGAUCAGAUGUUUCUUUGAUGAAAUAUAUCACGCUUGGCUUCUGCGCUGU
rnacentral:snoRNA from 1 species